AACGAACGCUGGCGGCAUGCCUAACACAUGCAAGUCGAACGAGACCUUCGGGUCUAGUGGCGCACGGGUGCGUAACGCGUGGGAACCUGCCCUUAGGUUCGGAAUAACUCCCCGAAAGGGGUGCUAAUACCGGAUAAUGUCUUCGGACCAAAGAUUUAUCGCCUUUGGAUGGGCCCGCGUUGGAUUAGCUAGUUGGUAGGGUAAAAGCCUACCAAGGCGACGAUCCAUAGCUGGUCUGAGAGGAUGAUCAGCCACACUGGGACUGAGACACGGCCCAGACUCCUACGGGAGGCAGCAGUGGGGAAUAUUGGACAAUGGGCGAAAGCCUGAGCCAGCAAGGCCGCGUGAGUGAUGAAGGCCUUAGGGUUGUAAAGCUCUUUUACCCGGGAUGAUAAUGACAGUACCGGGAGAAUAAGCUCCGGCUAACUCCGUG
rnacentral:rRNA from 1 species